CGAACGUGUGAAGAUAAAAAAGAAGAAUGAAAAAAAUAGAUAAACGAAAAUCAACAUUUAAAGACAAUAUAUAGCAGAACAACACCUAAACAAGACGCAAUACAGAAGCACAGUGAAAAAAUAUGACGAAAUGCGAACGUGUGAAGAUAAAAAGAAUGUAGUGACGUCAUCAAAACACCAGCGAAGGAAAACAUGGUCAUGGUGUGUGAAGAGAGAGGCAUUGUGAGUGGCAGAAAUAAUAAUGAUAAUGGUUUGCCUUCACCCUGAGGCAUACAAGGUCAAGAUAUUCUUCAUGCACCCUCUCGUAUCUCAUCUCCUCCUUAACCUGGCCUAUAAGGUGCGUUCUGUGCCUCAGGCGUGUGAGGAGUGAGGCGUCGAGAGCGGCCGCGUCAGGAGGGCCCUCGCAGCACUACCAUGCUGAGCUAUGAGGCGCUGCAGGACGUGCUGACAGCGGCGGUGGUGGUGGCAGUGGUGGCCGUGGUGGUGGCGGCGGCCUGGCUCUCAACAAGCGUGCGGGAGCCGUUAGUGGCGACGGCGGUGGUCGUGAUACACAGCAGUGGGGCCGUGGAGGGG